UCGGACUUCUCAUAUGUUUUCGACUCUUCGAAGAACUAAACAUUAACUUGUUCCUGUAGAUAAUUUUCUCAAGACUUCAUGCAGUGUAAAAACUGCAAAUUCAGCACUUCAAGUGAAGAUGUCCUUCUGAAGCACUAUCAGCUACAUCAUCAUAGAAUGUCCAACUGGCCCUGUCUUUACACGGAGUGUGUUUGUGCUUUAAAAACUGCAGAAGUUAAUGCAGAAGAGACAUGGCAGCCAUAAGUGAAUAAGCCUGCACUCUUUUUUCAAGAACAGAUCUGUGAGGAAUUUUUCCGCAUCACCAACAAAGACCUUCUAGGAGUCUCCAUGGCAGCCACUGACAAGUACACACCAAAGCUUCUGAAAUUAUACAGAGCCAGAAAAGGAGCGUUUGGACAUGAAAUGGAAGAGCUCCUGGAAAGACUUGAUGAAAGGACAACAGAAAUUGUUAAUCACAGAAGGACUUCUGCUUUAGAGGGCCUGCCUUUGUUUCUUCGAGAGAAACAAACUAACCUUUUCAAGAAAUGUAAAGAAACUGAAGAUAGAACAAAGGGCGUAUCAGUUGGCAUUCUCUAUGUUACGGAAGAUGACUACCGGGCAGCAUCACCAGUGAUCCAGAACAUUGCUGUUGUACUGGAAGAGGUUGUUGUUUUGGAAGACAUUCCAGAUACCUCAAGUGCUGUAGCAUACCUCUUUGGCCUUCUUCAUGCACUCAACUUUUCCUAUCCCAAAGAACUCCGGUACACUUUUGACACAAUUCAGAAUGUUUUCAUGGAGCUUGGGACUGGAUGUACGCAACGUUAGCUUACUCUUAAAAACAAGAUGUUAAACUAAUACUGUAAACAGUGUUGUGUCAAUGGUCUGAUGUUACAAAGACCUAAUGUACAAUUUGAGUACUAAAUCUGAUUCAUGAGAGCCACUGUUUAGGCACUGUGUUCAGUUAAAUGGGUAACAUUUCAUAAUAACUACACACUAUGAAUCAUUUAUUAAGCAUUAGCAAAU
rnacentral:lncRNA from 1 species